rnacentral:rRNA from 1 species
CCUACGGGUGGCAGCAGUGGGGAAUAUUGCGCAAUGGGCGAAAGCCUGACGCAGCGACGCCGCGUGAGGGAUGAAGGUCUUCGGAUCGUAAACCUCUGUCAGCAGGGAAGAACGGUCACUGUGCUAAUCAGCAGUGAAUUGACGGUACCUGCAAAGGAAGCACCGGCAAACUCCGUGCCAGCAGCCGCGGUAAUACGGAGGGUGCGAGCGUUAAUCGGAAUUACUGGGCGUAAAGCGCUCGUAGGCCGGAUGUCAAGUCAAGGGGGAAAUCCCCGCGCUCAACGUGGGAACUGCCUUUGAAACUGGCAAACUGGAGUGUGUGAGAGGAUAGUGGAAUUCCAGGUGUAGGAGUGAAAUCCGUAGAUAUCUGGAGGAACAUCAGUGGCGAAGGCGACUAUCUGGCACAUAACUGAUGCUGAGGAGCGAAAGCGUGGGUAGCAAACAGGAUUAGAUACCCUAGUAGUC